UACGGGAGGCAGCAGUGGGGAAUAUUGCACAAUGGGCGCAAGCCUGAUGCAGCCAUGCCGCGUGUAUGAAAAAGGCCUUCGGGUUGUAAAGUACUUUCAGUCGUGAGGAAGGUGUUAAGGUUAAUAACCUUAGCAAUUGACGUUAGCGACAGAAGAAGCACCGGCUAACUCCGUGCCAGCAGCCGCGGUAAUACGGAGGGUGCGAGCGUUAAUCGGAAUUACUGGGCGUAAAGGGCACGCAGGCGGUUAAUUAAGUUGGAUGUGAAAUCCCCGGGCUUAACCUGGGAAUGGCAUUCAAGACUGGUUAGCUAGAGUCUUGUAGAGGGGGUAGAAUUCCAUGUGUAGCGGUGAAAUGCGUAGAGAUGUGGAGGAAUACCGGUGGCGAAGGCGGCCCCUGGACAAAGACUGACGCUCAUGUGCGAAAGCGUGGGGAGCAAACAGGGAUUUAGAUACCCGU
rnacentral:rRNA from 1 species